GUUUUUGUAGAUGUUAAAAGCAAGAGACAUGGGAGAUCAUCAUUCCCUUGAGAUUUUAUAAAUCAAACCAACUUUGGAGUUGUCUGAUUUGGAGAGUCAUUAUUCUUGGUCUGCGCUCUUAGAGGCCACUGAUGAAGAACAGGCGGUGACUGGAUGAAUGCUGGUCAGAGAGGAGAAUCUUCUUUCCCCUAAACAGCAGUGGUUUUAAAGGAGGACGCUGCCCUGGAUGAUGUAGAAGAUGUCAGAUGCUGGGCUGAUGGGGUUUCUUCAUGAUUACAUCAGUUAUGCUAAAGAGAUCAUGAAAAUUUACUGUGAUGCAUGAUCUGUAUUCAUGGACAAUGAAACAAACUGUAAGUGUAUAAUUUGUUAAAAAAAAAAAAAGUUAAAUGCUUUUUCUGUGUUGUUUAGUAGAAAAGUUUACACUCUGUCAUUCAUACACCUGCUCACAUUCUUUCACACACACACACACACACAUGCGUCUGUUAAAGGUUAUAAUAUCAAAGUUAAUGUUGUGAUUUAUUUGUGUACUGUCAUGCCAGAAUAGUUGGAAAAAAAACUAACUAAUUGUAAAUUUAUUGUAUGUGUUUUCGUAUAUUUUUAUACAAUAUAUACAAUUGAACAAAGUCCAAUUUGAUCUUAAGUUAUAUUCAUCAAAUGUUCAAUGCUUUGUUUAUGAACUCUGUAGUUGUUAAUGCCAUCCUUUUCUGCAUUUCUUCUAACAUGUUACUUUUUGACUUUUCUCUUGUUUUUAAUAAAUAUUUUCCUUUUGGUAAUUAUUAUUUGUGUGUAAAAGUGAUAUUUAAAAUGAACAACAUUUGUA